UACAGAGGGUGCAAGCGUUGUUCGGAAUUACUGGGCGUAAAGCGCGCGCAGGCGGAUCCUGUAAGUCUGGAGUGAAAUCUCGCUGCUCAACGGCGAGACUGCUUCGGAUACUGCGGAUCUGGAGACCGGUAGAGGCUGGUAGAAUUGCAGGUGUAGCGGUGGAAUGCGUAGAGAUCUGCAAGAAUACCCGUGGCGAAGGCGGCCAGCUGGGCCGGUUCUGACGCUGAGGCGCGAAAGCGUGGGGAGCAAACAGG
rnacentral:rRNA from 1 species